rnacentral:lncRNA from 1 species
GUCUUCGGUGGCUGGAAACCAUGAGUUACGCCUUCAGAUGCCUUCUCUCAGCAUUGCCAAUAGAAAGCCAGCUCCACCUAAGAAGAAGCACUGAAGACAUUAGGUGCUGCCCAGCAGUGGGACUGCUUCUCUCAUCGUUCUUCCAUCUGCACUCACAGAAGCGUCUCAUUCCACAGUGCAAGAUACUCAACUCAACCAGCCAAAGCUAUCUUGAGCAGUUGCAGAUUCUCCUUCUCCUACCACCUCAGAG